CCUUACACCAUCUUCAUCAUCACACCACUGGACUAUGUUCUCACUCACUAUGGCCCACCUCCAGCACUGACUUCAUCCCACAUGAUCUCGGGAAGAAUGAGAUUGCUUCUCUGCACAAAGACAGGAGAUUACUUGGAGAAACAGCCUCAGAGAAACCUUAGGAUUUCAAUGCUUUUAGCCAACAAGGUUUAAUUAUCUCCAUAACCCUGCAAAAGUAAAGCACAGAGAAGCAUGACGUGGGGGUGAAAUCACACUUUACAAAGAGGUUAAUGCAGAGCAGAGGAAAAUGAAAUCCAUUUCCAACAGAGGUACAAAAACUCACUGCACAAGUCCUAAUUUCUUCUCACACCUCAGGCCAGGCUGCUACCCAUUCUAGGCUGCCUAUUUUCUGCUAGAAAUGCUGCCCCUGGAAUAAGUACUAUAGAGAGGAGCCUGGACAAGCCACGACCUUUGUUAGACACUUGAAUGAAAGAAACAUCGACAACAAACAAAAAGAACACAGGAUGCUGGUUGACAGGUGCAUCCUUGGAUCUUUUUUCUUCCUCAUCAAUUAAAAUGCAUGAAGGAGGCUGCCUACAUGACCUGCAUUACAGGUUAGGU